rnacentral:piRNA from 1 species
UAGAUGUGGGACAAGGAUUUAAAAAG